rnacentral:rRNA from 1 species
AUAAANUUUAGNGCCGCGAAUGGCUCAUUANAUCANUUACCGUUCAUUGGAUGUUGACCAACUACAUGGAUAACUGUGGUAAUUCUAGAGCUAAUACAUGCUGCCAAUCCUGACUUCUCAGGGCANGAUUUUUUUUUAUNCCNAGACCAANGGCGUGCUUCUCCGCGCCUGACGGUGGUGACUCUGGAUAACUGCCGCCGAUCNCAUGGCCUCGCCGGCCAAGUAUCCUUCCUAUGUCCGCCUUAUCAACUGUCNAUGGUAGGUUAUGCCCCUACCAUGGUUGCAACGAAUNACGG